rnacentral:SRP_RNA from 1 species
UGGCGAGCUAGCCCGGGUGAUUAGGCGUCACCUAUGACUCGAAAUCGUCUUGAUGCGAGGGGCGAAGCCUGAGGAAGGCGCUUCUGAUGCAUGAAGGCCUUACCGCUCUACGUUGAAGGUCCGUCCUGCUGGGUUAGCGGUGGUAAAUCGCCGUGCUGGAGAGCACGUCGACUGCCUUAAUUGCGGGGACCGGCACAGGCCCGGAAGGGAGCAUGCUAACCGUGGACAACUGACGCUUGCAGGGUCACGGGCCGGAGGAAAGCGGUAAGAUAACCUAUCAUGUGCGGGUGCGACAACCGAUGGUGCGCUCGCUA